UACGUAGGGGGCAAGCGUUGUCCGGAAUCAUCGGGCGUAAAGAGCGUGUAGGCGGUCCGGUAAGUCCGCUGUGAAAGUCGGGGGCUCAACCCUCGAAUGCCGGUGGAUACUGUCGGGCUAGAGUGCGGAAGAGGCGAGUGGAAUUCCUGGUGUAGCGGUGAAAUGCGCAGAUAUCAGGAGGAACACCUAUUGCGAAGGCAGCUCGCUGGGACGUAACUGACGCUGAGACGCGAAAGCGUGGGGAGCAAACAGG
rnacentral:rRNA from 1 species